ACAGGGGCACCUGAUCAUCAAUGCCGCGUGUGUGAAGAAGGCCUUCGGGUUGUAAAGCACUUUUGUCAGGAACGAAACGGUGGGGGCUAAUACCUUCUGCUAAUGACGGUACCUGAAGAAUAAGCACCGGCUAACUACGUGCCAGCAGCCGCGGUAAUACGUAGGGUGCGAGCGUUAAUCGGAAUUACUGGGCGUAAAGCGUGCGCAGGCGGUUGUGCAAGACAGAUGUGAAAUCCCCGGGCUUAACCUGGGAAUGGCAUUUGUGACUGCACGGCUAGAGUGUGUCAGAGGGGGGUAGAAUUCCACGUGUAGCAGUGAAAUGCGUAGAUAUGUGGAGGAAUACCGAUGGCGAAGGCAGCCCCCUGGGAUAACACUGACGCUCAUGCACGAAAGCGUGGGGAGCAAACAGGAUUAGAUACCCUGGUAGUCCACGCCCUAAACGAUGUCAACUAGUUGUCGGGUCUUAAUUGACUUGGUAACGCAGCUAACGCGUGAAGUUGACCGCCUGGGGAGUACGGUCGCAAGAUUAAAACUCAAAGGAAUUGACGGGGACCCGCACAAGCGGUGGAUGAUGUGGAUUAAUUCGAUGCAACGCGAAAAACCUUACCUACCCUUGACAUGUCUGGAAUCCUGAAGAGAUUUGGGAGUGCUCGAAAGAGAGCCAGAAC
rnacentral:rRNA from 1 species